AAACAUCUAUUGCAUCCUUAAUUCCCUCCAUAAUAAUUCACAAAAGUUCACCAAAAUAAAACAUUUUUUAUCUUUUCUCAAUAAAAAAUAUCAUAAACCAAAACCCAUUUCUUUCUCUUUCUCAAUAGGCAGCUUUCUCAAUAAAAAAUAUUUAGCUUCCAGGGUUUCCUUUCUCCUCUGGAAAUUUCUCCUAAUUGAAUUUUUUUAAUCCAAAUUAGGGUUUUCCUUUCACACAAAGAUCUACUUCGCAUUGUUCUUUGAACCUUAAUUUCAUAAAAAAUUAGGGAAAUUGCAUGCUAUGCGAAGAACAAUUGUAUUUCAUUUAUGUGUUUGAAGAUCUCAAAGAUUCGGUUUUGAUUCAAUUCUAUUUUGAUUUUAGGGAAAUUGUGGUGGUUUGUUUAGGUAUUGUAGAGAGAAAUAGAUGUGGAUUUUAAUGGUGAUGUAAUGAGUUUGGAUACUGAGUUAUUGUAGUUACCUGAGAUGUCUCUGUUGGCUAUAAAAAAUAAUUCGUAUAUUGCUGAGAAGCUAUUUGAUCAAUGGCAUUCGAUUCCUAAUACCACAACUUUGCAUAAUGUCGAACCUGACGCCGUGGAUCUUUUAGUCGAGGUUGAAGACCUUGAUCUUUUGGUGGAGCAUGUUAAUAAUAGCAAUUGUAAAAGGAUAUGAUCUUAUCUCACCAGUUUUGCUAAGUAAGUUGGCUCUGGACGUGUUUGUGGGUAUCCGUUGUUGAAUAACUGAAUCCGUUUGAUAUUUCUGAU